ACGCGGUUGGCUGAACAGCCAAUGCUGCAACUCUAACAUCUGUCGGAUUAUGACUGGACGCCUCUAAGUCAGAAUCCAUGCUGGAAAGCAACGUCUAAUCAAUAAUAAACGAAAAACAUUAAGUCUUCGGACUGAAGUUCACACCAUGGGCGAAACGGAUUACCGAAACAGGAAAAUCUAUACCGCUCGAAUCGUAAUUUCGAAUUAUUUAUUGACACAAAUCUUUUGUAGACGACUUAAUA
rnacentral:rRNA from 1 species